rnacentral:misc_RNA from 1 species
UUCCGCACUUCAUCUAACGCCUGAAAAGAAUGCUAGAAUAAGUAUAAAAUCCUAAUAACAAACAAAUUUUACAACCAAAAAAAGCAACAAUUUCUUCAAAUAAGAAAUUUUAUUGAGCAAGAAAGCUAGAGGUUAUAAUGUCAUAUAGCACAAAAGACCAACAAGUAUAAUGAGAAAACUAAAGAACAAGUAGCAUCCCCUGAUGAAUUAUAUAAAUUAUCAUACCCUUGGAAGUCCAAAAUGUGUUG